AACGUAGGACGCAAGCGUUAUCCGGAGUUACUGGGCGUAAAGCGCAUGCAGGCGGCUCGUCAAGUGGGAUGUGAAAGCGCUCAGCUUAACUGGGCGAUGCAUUCCAAACUGAUGGGCUGGAGGGCAGUAGAGGUAGGCGGAAUUCCAGGUGUAGCGGUGAAAUGCGUAGAUAUCUGGAGGAACACCGGUGGCGAAGGCGGCGUUCUGGACUGUCUCUGACACUGAAGAACGAAAGCCAGGGGAGCAAACGGG
rnacentral:rRNA from 1 species